rnacentral:rRNA from 1 species
CAAUAGCGUAUAUUAAUGUUGUUGCAGUUAAAAAGCUCGUAGUUGGAUUUCUGGGAGGGUGCCGAUGUCCGCGUAACGUGAGUGCAGCGGCGCCCUCUCAUCCUUCUGUUAGCGUCUCUUGGUAUUCAUUUACUGGUUUCGGGCUCAGAUAUUUUACCUUGAGAAAAUUAGAGUGUUUCAGGCAGGCUUGCGCCGGAAUACAUUAGCAUGGAAUAAUAGAAUAGGACGUUUUGCUCCUUUGUUGGUUUGAGAGCAUAGCGUAAUGAUUAAUAGGGAUAGUUGGGGGCAUUAGUAUUUAAUUGUCAGAGGUGAAAUUCUCGGAUUUGUUAAAGACUAACUUAUGCGAAAGCAUUUGCCAAGGAUGUUUUCAUUAA